rnacentral:lncRNA from 1 species
UGAUGAUUAAAGGAAGCUAAAGGACGGAUUUUUCCCCUAAUAAAAGCCUGAUUUUUGCCCGGACCAAAACAUUGCAAAAUGCAUAAACGUGGAGCUCUCCCAAAUUAAAUGUCCCUUGAGCUCAGUAGCAGCUAUUGAUUAAAUGGAAAACGUCUGAAAAGGGGGGCUUGCAUUAGGUGCCUCGAUUUGUGUGUCCAACAUUGAUGUAAAUGUCGUGAUUCUGGUGGCUUGAAAGCUGGAAGUACUGUUUCAGUUUUUCUGACGGAAACUUUUUGCUUUGCUUUGCGUUGGUUAGCGGGGUAAAGAAUCAGCAUCCACAUAGCUCCCUUUGGAAGAUGCCUAGAGGACCUACAGAUUUAUUUGAAGACCUGUUGAAGAUGAUCUGGAAAAAGAAACUGCAGGCAAAAUAUUGAUUUGUUGAUGAGAAGACUGCAUUUUAAUACUGUAACUUCAGUGUUGCCAUGCAGAUAAUUUCUUCAAGUAGCUAAACCAAUUAAUCUGGUUAAGUUUUACUUCCACAACAGAUACACCCCCCCCCCCAAUUCACCCUGUUGAUUUUUUGUUGCAAAGUUGGGGUUUGGAUUAUGAAUAUGAAUAUCUUAGCUUUGUUAUUUACUUGCUUA